AAAAACAGAAAAAGACACAAGGCAUAAGGUGUUUGGGAAAAUUAUUUAACCUUUCCAAGACUCAGUUUACCCAUGUGAAAGAUGGCACAUUACUCAGUGGGGUGUAAUAAAGAUUAAAGAGAUAUAUUUAGAAUAAUUUUUGUCACAUAGUAAGAGCCCCUGUAUAGCUGUAUUUAUUAUUAUUGUUACUACUUAAUUUUUUUUUUUUUUUUUUUUUUUUUUUUUUUGCUGUUGACUAGAGAGAACAAUUGGGCAUGCUAGUCGAGGUCCCAAGAACCUCAGCAGAGAGAAAAACAGAACUACUAAGCUUAAGGCUGAUGAGAGAGGCCAAGUGUGUCAGGUUUUGUCCUUUGAGAAGCAGAUACCAAAAUGGAAUUCAAAGUGCAAGAGAUUUACUUGGGGGAAGCACCUAUGAAGGAUAAAGCUAAAUGGGUUGGAAGACCUUCUGAUCACAAUGCAAGUGUGAUGUCUGUGAAGGGAGGGAGAGAGGGGAUAAAACAAAACAAGGUUGAAACAGCCUCAGUCUGCAGUGCAGCUCUGAGUAAGGCUCAGCCCAGAGCAAAGAUUGCCUGUUUGAGGAGCCACACAUUAGGUAGAGAGGCCCAGCUCCAGAGCCUUCAUUGGCCACAGCCUCAGUGAGAACACUACUGCAGUGGAUCUCGGAGGUGCAGCAGCUGGAGGCUGUCAGCUAACUACACUCCUCGCUGCAGGUUCUGUUUUGCAGGGAGAUCUGAGCACCACGCUCCCAUGGCUGCAUGCCAAUCCUAGGAUCAUUUUCCUUGGAGGGCUUUUUCCUACUUGACAUCUCCAAGGUACUUGGCAACCUGCAAGG
rnacentral:lncRNA from 10 species